rnacentral:rRNA from 1 species
AGAUGGCGGCAGCUACACAUGCAGUCGAGCGGUAGCACAGAGAGCUUGCUCUCGGGUGACGAGCGGCGGACGGGUGAGUAAUGUCUGGGAAACUGCCUGAUGGAGGGGGAUAACUACUGGAAACGGUAGCUAAUACCGCAUAACGUCGCAAGACCAAAGUGGGGGACCUUCGGGCCUCAUGCCAUCAGAUGUGCCCAGAUGGGAUUAGCUGGUAGGUGGGGUAACGGCUCACCUAGGCGACGAUCCCUAGCUGGUCUGAGAGGAUGACCAGCCACACUGGAACUGAGACACGGUCCAGACUCCUACGGGAGGCAGCAGUGGGGAAUAUUGCACAAUGGGCGCAAGCCUGAUGCAGCCAUGCCGCGUGUGUGAAGAAGGCCUUCGGGUUGUAAAGCACUUUCAGCGGGGAGGAAGGCGGUGAGGUUAAUAACCUCAUCGAUUGACGUUACCCGCAGAAGAAGCACCGGCUAACUCCGUGCCAGCAGCCGCGGUAAUACGGAGGGUGCAAGCGUUAAUCGGAAUUACUGGGCGUAAAGCGCACGCAGGCGGUCUGUCAAGUCGGAUGUGAAAUCCCCGGGCUCAACCUGGGAACUGCAUUCGAAACUGGCAGGCUAGAGUCUUGUAGAGGGGGGUAGAAUUCCAGGUGUAGCGGUGAAAUGCGUAGAGAUCUGGAGGAAUACCGGUGGCGAAGGCGGCCCCCUGGACAAAGACUGACGCUCAGGUGCGAAAGCGUGGGGAGCAAACAGGAUUAGAUACCCUGGUAGUCCACGCUGUAAACGAUGUCGAUUUGGAGGUUGUGCCCUUGAGGCGUGGCUUCCGGAGCUAACGCGUUAAAUCGACCGCCUGGGGAGUACGGCCGCAAGGUUAAAACUCAAAUGAAUUGACGGGGGCCCGCACAAGCGGUGGAGCAUGUGGUUUAAUUCGAUGCAACGCGAAGAACCUUACCUGGUCUUGACAUCCACAGAACUUUCCAGAGAUGGAUUGGUGCCUUCGGGAACUGUGAGACAGGUGCUGCAUGGCUGUCGUCAGCUCGUGUUGUGAAAUGUUGGGUUAAGUCCCGCAACGAGCGCAACCCUUAUCCUUUGUUGCCAGCGGUUAGGCCGGGAACUCAAAGGAGACUGCCAGUGAUAAACUGGAGGAAGGUGGGGAUGACGUCAAGUCAUCAUGGCCCUUACGACCAGGGCUACACACGUGCUACAAUGGCAUAUACAAAGAGAAGCGACCUCGCGAGAGCAAGCGGACCUCAUAAAGUAUGUCGUAGUCCGGAUUGGAGUCUGCAACUCGACUCCAUGAAGUCGGAAUCGCUAGUAAUCGUAGAUCAGAAUGCUACGGUGAAUACGUUCCCGGGCCUUGUACACACCGCCCGUCACACCAUGGGAGUGGGUUGCAAAAGAAGUAGGUAGCUUAACCUUCGGGAGGGCGCUACCACUUGGAUCAGGUGU